AUGGAAAGAGCAAAACUUCACCAAGGACAAACUUGAAAUUCCGCUUUGACAAACUGAGCCACUCCACUGUAAGUACUGUGUACUGGAAUAACCUUUAAUAUUGACUGGGCAUGUUUUGAAAUCGGUUUCAACCAGUUGUUUUACAGUAAAUCAGAUUAUCAACAAUGGCAAUGUUGGAAUGAUGUAAGUGUGUGUGUUACUAUUGUUUUUAAAGUGCAAAUGCAUUUGUUAUCAUAUGUCUGUAACAGUGCAUUUGAUUUAAUUUGUAAACUGAAUAAUGAGAUUGGAAUUAAUUCACUAAGAAUAAUCAUUCCCCUUUCUUUCAGGGUCAUUAGGUCAGACAGAAGCCACUGCAUGGACAAAAGGCAGUGACUUUGAAUGGAUUUUUAUAGAUUGGAAGAAAAAGGGACCAUUCUCUCUUUGCUAAUGCAACAGUUAUCAUCACUCUUCAAAAUAUAAUAUAUCUGUUUUAUAUUUAAGUCAGAAUAGUGCCUAUACA
rnacentral:lncRNA from 1 species